rnacentral:rRNA from 1 species
AUGGAGCGCGGCGAGGCAGCGCCGGCGGCAGGCCGGGAGCCGAGCCUGGGGGCGAGCAGUGAGGGAUGGGGAGUGGGUGGCCUCUCUGUUGUGGAGUGGAGCACCUUCAAACGGCGGGGAAAAUACAUCCUACGCCGGGCGAGAGAUCCGGAAGGCUGUCUGCGGCGCUUUCGGAUCAAAGCAGUUGGCUUCUUCAAAUUGGAUCCAUCUGGUACUGAUUCAAAGGGAGCAGGGACGCAGAUCGAGGCCCCUGAUUUCGCCAGGAAGAAUCACACCAUGGUGAGUUAUGGAGAGUUUAAUGGAGCAGUUUCUGAUAGAUUAAUUUGCAAUUCUUCUAUGGAUGGGACGGGGAUUCUAGUGGGGUAA